rnacentral:rRNA from 1 species
UACGUAGGGUGCAAGCGUUUAAUCGGAAUUACUGGGCGUAAAGCGUGCGCAGGCGGCUUUGCAAGACAGAUGUGAAAUCCCCGGGCUUAACCUGGGAACUGCAUUUGUGACUGCAUGGCUGGAGUGCGGCAGAGGGGGGUAGAAUUCCACGUGUAGCAGUGAAAUGCGUAGAGAUGUGGAGGAAUACCGAUGGCGAAGGCAGCCCCCUGGGCCAAUACUGACGCUCAUGCACGAA